CGUACACUCGGUGGUUAGGGGUUAGGGUUUUUGCUACGCCGAACACUACCUCCGCCUAAUAUAUAUAUACACACAUAUAUAUGUGCAUACACACACACACACACACACACGUCACCUUCUCUAUCAACUUCUGUAUAACAAUAACACAUGCACAUUGAUCAAAUACAUACAGAUAAACCCAAACAUACCCUCGUUUAUAACAUUCAUGUAAAAUAUACAAGCAAAUAGAUUUUCUUCGAUUUUUCACGAUGAAUAAUUUCACUGAUUCGAUCACAUGGGACUACCUGUUCAGUGAAUUCAGAGCCGUCUUAACAGUAUCAUAACGCCUACCCCCACCCGUGGACAUACCAGUGUAUUGAGCCCUGUUGUAUUUAUUUAUUUAUUUAUUAACAGCCAAGUUACAUCAUACGUAGAUCGAAAUUGGACUCCCUAGACCCAUGAGGCUCCCGGGCAACUGCCAGUGUGUUUAUGCCUUAAGACGGUACUGGGUGACUUAUAUGGUAAACGGAUGAUUGUUCCGAAGACGCUUGUAUGUGUAAUGUAAUGAUCUAACAGAAUAACCGUAUCGUUGCGUUGUGUAAGAAACGGCUUUGGUGCCUAGGGGUCCUCAGAAUAUUCUGGGUGGACAUUAAUUUGUAGUAAUGCUAAAGUGGAGUUUCGAAAUAAGUGUAUCACUGUAAAUCUGAGUGUGUACUAUUGAAUAUUGUGGGGGCAGUGCCGUCCGGUGCACCCCCUUAGCGACGGGCAUGGUAACAAGGAUGGUCUUAGCCGAUGGAUGAGAUUUGGAAGAAAGGAAAAGGGUAGGUAAGUGGGAGAAUAAAAACAGAAAAAAAAAAUGGAAAUUUUUGUAAAAAAAAAGGAAUAUUACAAAAAAUAUAAAACAGACUCUCCACUUCACCACGCGAAAAAAAACCCCCCAAAAACACCCUUUCAUGCGGGACUUCGUGGGGCUAUUCCAAAACUCGGACCGACGGUCUUCCACAUUUUCCGUCUACGCGACUAUCUUAUGUCAUUCACAGGGUGGAGGUCAACCUAAGGGGAUAGUGAAAAGAUACGGUGCAAUUGCAGUAGAAUCGCAAUUGGGGCCUCACGUUUGCGAAGCGAACUAACUUCUUAAUAGUUUGGUUUCGUAUUGAAGCAAUAACGACCAGCCACCGAGGAAGCUCUGUGCUUACGUACCUGCUAGUAAUAGUAGCUAAAUCUUUGAUGUCACACAAAAAUCAUACAUUUAGUGGAAAAUAAAAUAAUAUAAGUCCUUGAUAUAUU